GGUUAAUUAUAAGUGACCAAACCGCCAUCGCUCGCGUCUUCGCGCUCGCGCCUUCCCCUUGCUUCUCAUCUGAUCAAUCCCCCGCCGGCCGCCGGCCAACCCAAAUCGUCAACACCAAAUCCGGCAUGCCACCCAAUGGAUCCACCGACGGCCAGCCGAUCUCUCCCUGCGUCGCAGAUUCUGCGGACCCAUCGAUCUCCCUUCCGCCGUGGCGCCAUGCCCACUGCGGAAGGACGGCGAGGAGCAGAAAGAGUACGGGCGCGAUGGAAAAGCUCGUCAAAGGACUGGAAGAGGCGUCGUGCUAGACGAAAGGGUGUGGUUGCUGAGAUGAGGAAGGAGCGGCGUUUCGGCUCCGGAGGAUAGGGACCUUGACGAGGGACAGAGGUCGUCGUGGGCCGAGGUGCUCGCUACCUGCCCGAUACAAUGCCCAAGUGGUGGAAUACGAGGUUACAGAAAACCUCUCGGUGUCUGAAGGGUAUUUGCUCUGCAGAUGGUCUCCAUCGUCCAACCAGGAACCAGGCGAUCAAGACCGGAGGUGGGAAAGCGUGGAAGAUGAUAGAAAGCAGUAGUAACAUAUGCAUAUCCGUGCGCCCACUCAAAGGCACAGCCAGGACGAAAGAGGUGGCAUGAUGGGUGUAGGAUCAGAUAGCACCACUGGCACGGUCAACUGCAGACCACAGCUACAGACUUCGCAAUGCAGAAGAGUGCAACAGUUUAGGAUGGACAGGAGAGAAGCAGUGGAGGUUAGGUGGCUGUUGGGGAAAGAAAACAUCAUAGAGAAUACCAUUGGCAAUUCAGUAUGGAAAGGAAGAAUUUGACAUUAUAGAGAAAUCAGGUUACUUUUUAGUUUCUGUGAAGAUUCGAACAGAUUCAUGCCAUUGGCAAUUCCUUUUUCUCUGCUUUUCUACUCCAAACAUAAAAUCGCUGUGACUGAUUGUUCAUAAAUAUAUUGUAUCUGAAAAUAUAGCAUCUAAGUAGGAAAUUCUCCAAGCUGUUUUUCUAGAUUGGUUUUCCAUUGGUUCUGUUCAUCACAUGCUGUUUGGUUUCAAUAAAGUACUCAUCAUAUGUGUUCAUAACAGUA